CUAUGGGGCGCAGCAGGCGAGAAAACUUUGCAAUGUGCGAAAGCACGACAAGGUUAAUCCGAGUGGUUUCUGCUAAAGGAACCUUUUGUCAGUCCUAGAAACACUGAUGAAUAAGGGGUGGGCAAGUUCUGGUGUCAGCCGCCGCGGUAAAACCAGCACCUCAAGUGGUCAGGAUGAUUAUUGGGCCUAAAGCAUCCGUAGCCGGCUCUGUAAGUUUUCGGUUAAAUCUGUACGCUCAACGUACAGGCUGCCGGGAAUACUGCAGAGCUAGGGAGUGGGGAGAGGUAGACGGUACUCGGUAGGAAGGGGUAAAAUCCUUUGAUCUAUUGAUGACCACCUGUGGCGAAGGCGGUCUACCAGAACACGUCCGACGGUGAGGGAUGAAAGCUGGGGGAGCAAACCGGAUUAGAUACCCGGGUAGUCCCAGCUGUAAACUAUGCAAACUCAGUGAUGCAUUGGCUUGUGGCCAAUGCAGUGCUGCAGGGAAGCCGUUAAGUUUGCCGCCUGGGAAGUACGUACGCAAGUAUGAAACUUAAAGGAAUUGGCGGGGGAGCACCACAAGGGGUGAAGCCUGCGGUUCAAUUGGAGUCAACGCCAGAAAUCUUACCCGGAGAGACAGCAGAAUGAAGGUCAAGCUGAAGACUUUACCAGACAAGCUGAGAGGUGGUGCAUGGCCGUCGCCAGCUCGUGCCGUGAGAUGUCCUGUUAAGUCAGGUAACGAGCGAGAUCCCUGCCUCUAGUUGCCACCAUUACUCUCAGGAGUAGUGGGGCGAAUUAGCGGGACCGCCGCAGUUAAUGCGGAGGAAGGAAGGGGCCACGGCAGGUCAGUAUGCCCCGAAACUCUGGGGCCACACGCGGGCUGCAAUGGUAACGACAAUUGGUUUCAAAUCCGAAAGGAUGAGGUAAUCCUCAAACGUUACCACAGUUAUGACUGAGGGCUGCAACUCGCCCUCACGAAUAUGGAAUCCCUAGUAACUGCGUGUCAUUAUCGCGCGGUGAAUACGUCCCUGCUCCUUGCACACACCGCCCGUCGUUUCAUUGAAGUGAGCUUUUAGCGAGGUGACGUCUAAUUGGCGUUAUCGAACUUGAGGUUCGUGACAAGGGAAAAGUCGUAACAAGGUAACC
rnacentral:rRNA from 1 species